UAACACGUGGGUAACCUNCCCAAGAGACUGGGAUAACACCUGGAAACAGAUGCUAAUACCGGAUAACAACACUAGACGCAUGUCUAGAGUUUGAAAGAUGGUUCUGCUAUCACUCUUGGAUGGACCUGCGGUGCAUUAGCUAGUUGGUAAGGUAACGGCUUACCAAGGCAAUGAUGCAUAGCCGAGUUGAGAGACUGAUCGGCCACAUUGGGACUGAGACACGGCCCAAACUCCUACGGGAGGCAGCAGUAGGGAAUCUUCCACAAUGGACGAAAGUCUGAUGGAGCAACGCCGCGUGAGUGAAGAAGGGUUUCGGCUCGUAAAGCUCUGUUGGUAGUGAAGAAAGAUAGAGGUAGUAACUGGCCUUUAUUUGACGGUAAUUACUUAGAAAGUCACGGCUAACUACGUGCCAGCAGCCGCGGUAAUACGUAGGUGGCAAGCGUUGUCCGGAUUUAUUGGGCGUAAAGCGAGUGCAGGCGGUUCAAUAAGUCUGAUGUGAAAGCCUUCGGCUCAACCGGAGAAUUGCAUCAGAAACUGUUGAACUUGAGUGCAGAAGAGGAGAGUGGAACUCCAUGUGUAGCGGUGGAAUGCGUAGAUAUAUGGAAGAACACCAGUGGCGAAGGCGGCUCUCUGGUCUGCAACUGACGCUGAGGCUCGAAAGCAUGGGUAGCGAACAGGAUUAGAUACCCUGGU
rnacentral:rRNA from 1 species